CUAAAUGACUCUCGGCAACGGAUAUCUCGGCUCUCGCAUCGAUGAAGAACGUAGCGAAAUGCGAUACUUGGUGUGAAUUUGCAGAAUCCCGUGAACCAUCGAGUCUUUGAACGCAAGUUGCGCCCGAAGCCUCACGGCCGAGGGCACGCCUGCCUGGGCGUCACGCA
rnacentral:rRNA from 1 species